rnacentral:pre_miRNA from 4 species
UUUUAUGGGUGAGCAAACAAAGUAGUUUCUUGAGAUGGAAUCUAUUCCUGGUGAAGAUGCUGUGAA